UACAGAGGAGCCAAGCGUUGUCCGGAUUGACUGGGCGUAAAGCGCACGCGGGCGGAUGCGCGCGUGGGGUGUGAAAUCUGGCCGCUUAACGGCCAGGCGCCAUCCCAUACGGCGCGUCUGGAGUGAUGCAGAGGUCGAUGGAAUUGCCGGUGUAGUGGUGAAAUGCGUAGAGAUCGGCAGGAACACCCAGGGGGAAACCAGUCGACUGGGCAUCUACUGACGCUGAGGUGCGAGAGCGUGGGGAGCGAACCGG
rnacentral:rRNA from 1 species